rnacentral:rRNA from 1 species
UAAAGUGGCGCACGGGUGAGUAACGCGUGGGUAAUCUACCUUGGAAUCGGGGAUAACAAUGCGAAAGCGUUGCUAAUACCGGAUGAAGUUUUUUUCGCUUCGGCGGGGGGAACCAAAGGCGACCUCUCCAUGGAAGUUGUCGUUUCAAGAUGAGCCCGCGUACCAUUAGCUGGUUGGUGGGGUAACGGCCCACCAAGGCGACGAUGGUUAGCUGGUCUGAGAGGAUGAUCAGCCACACUGGAACUGACACACGGUCCAGACUCCUACGGGAGGCAGCAGUGAGGAAUUUUGCGCAAUGGGGGAAACCCUGACGCAGCAACGCCGCGUGAGUGAUGAAGGCCUUCGGGUCGUAAAGCUCUGUCUGGUGGGAAGAACCUCGGGAUUCGGACAACGGAUUCGGACUGACGGUACCACCGAAGGAAGCACCGGCUAACUCCGUGCCAGCAGCCGCGGUAAUACGGAGGGUGCGAGCGUUAUUCGGAAUUAUUGGGCGUAAAGGGCGCGUAGGCGGUUUUGUAAGUCAGAUGUGAAAGCCCGGGGCUUACCCCUGGAAGUGCAUUUGAAACUACGAGACUUGAGUAUGGGAGAGGGAAGCGGAAUUCCUGGUGUAGAGGUGAAAUUCGUAGAUAUCAGGAGGAACACCGGUGGCGAAGGCGGCUUCCUGGACCAAUACUGACGCUGAGGCGCGAAGGCGUGGGGAGCAAACAGGAUUAGAUACCUUGGUAGUCCGCGCAGUAAACGGUGAUCACUAGGUGUAGCGGGUAUUGACCCGUGUUGUGCCGGAGUUAACGCAUUAAGUGAUCCGCUUGGGGAGUACGGCCGCAAGGUUAUAAUUCAAAGGAAUUGACGGGGGCCCGCACAAGCGGUGGAGCAUGUGGUUUAAUUCGAGGCAAGGCGAAGAACCUGACGUGGUUUUGACAUCCCGGGAAUCCCCUUGAAAGAGGGGAGUGCCCUUGCGGGGAGCCUGGAGACAGGUGCUGCAUGGCUGUCGUCAGCUCGUGUCGUGAGAUGUUGGGUUAAGUCCCGCAACGAGCGCAACCCUUAUCUUUAGUGGCCAUCAAUUGGGUUGGGGACUCUAGAGAUACCGCCCCGGUCAACGGGGAGGAAGGUGGGGAUGACGUCAAGUCCUCAUGGCCCUUAUGCCCAGGGGUACACACGUGCUACAAUGGGCCGUACAAAGGGUAGCGAGCCCGCGAGGGUGAGCCAAUCCCAAAAAGCGGUCCAUAGUUCGG